rnacentral:rRNA from 1 species
CAGCCGCCGCGGUAAUACCGGCGGCCCGAGUGGCGGCCACUAUUAUUGGGCUUAAAGCGUCCGUAGCCGGGUUGGUUAGUCUCCCGGGAAAUCUGGCCGCUUAACGGUCAGAAUUCCGGGAGAUACUGCCAGCCUAGGGACCGGGAGAGGCCGAGGGUAUUCCCGGAGUAGGGGUGAAAUCCUAUAAUCCCGGGAGGACCACCUGUGGCGAAGGCGCUCGGCCGGAACGCGUCCGACGGUGAGGGACGAAGGCCAGGGGAGCAAACCGGAUUAGAUACCCGGGUAGUCCUGGCUGUAAACGAUGCGGACUUUGUGUCGGACAAGCUAUGAGCUUGUCCGGUGCCGGAGGGAAACCGUUAAGUCCGCCGCCUGGGGAGUACGCCCGCAAGGCUGAAACUUAAAGGAAUUGGCGGG